UGGGGAAUAUUGCGCAAUGGGGGCAACCCUGACGCAGCGACGCCGCGUGUGUGAUGAAGGCCUUCGGGUCGUAAAGCACUGUCAAGUGGAAAGAGUGAGGCGUAGUUAACACCUGCGCCGAUGACGGUACCACUUGAGGAAGCACCGGCUAACUCCGUGCCAGCAGCCGCGGUAAUACGGAGGGUGCAAGCGUUGUUCGGAAUCAUUGGGCGUAAAGGGCGCGUAGGCGGGACGUUAAGUCCGAUGUGAAAUCCCUCGGCUCAACUGAGGACGUGCAUCGGAUACUGGCGACCUUGAGUCCUGGAGAGGGUAGCGGAAUUCCCCGAGUGUAGAGGUGAAAUUCGUAGAUAUUGGGAGGAACACCGGUGGCGAAGGCGGCUACCUGGACAGUGACUGACGCUGAGGCGCGAAAGCAUGGGUAGCAAACAGGAUUAGAUACCCUGGUAGUCCAUGCCGUAAACGAUGGGUGCUAGUUGUGCGGGUAUUGACCCUGCGCUGACGAAGCU
rnacentral:rRNA from 1 species